GGUCGGAUUCGUCUACCGUGAGAAUCACAGAUCACCCGGAUACUAUGACGGUAGGUACUGGACCAUGUGGAAACUGCCCAUGUUUGGAUGCACCGAUGCCACCCAAGUGCUCAAGGAGCUCGAGGAGGCAAAGAAGGCAUACCCUGAUGCCUUCGUUCGCAUCAUUGGCUUUGACAACGUUAGGCAGGUGCAGUUAAUCAGCUUCAUCGCGUAUAAGCCACCGGGUUGCGAGGAGUCAGGCGGCAACUAAGCGCUUUCGUUCCUUCGUGCAUGUUCUUUCUUUUUCUUUUUUUUUUUGUGUGUCCGUGUUAAGCUGCACGUAAUUGUUCUCUCGCGCUCCGACCUGCCGUUGUUGCAAGAGUACUACUACAACUAUCGGUCUAUCGUUCGGUGACGGUGAGACAGGGCACGUGAAUGCAAGAUCUCCGGCUAUACACACGUACUCAUGUAAUAUGAUGCCUAGAGCAUAUCUGAAUCCGUCGAC
rnacentral:misc_RNA from 1 species